GUAUAUCUAUUCCAUGUGUACAGCUCAAUCAAAGUGCUGUGCAAAAAAGUAAGAGAAACAAGCAAUCUGAAUUACAUUCUCACGUAACCAUAAACCAUUCAAGAUCACUCCAAGUUCUGUGCAAAAAAAAGGUAAGAGAAACAAAAUCUUGCUCAUUUUAUACAUAAAAUAUUUCGCUACAAUCUGAAUUACAUUCUCAUAUAACCAAACAAGAUCACUUAGAUGCAUUCAACUAGGAAAAAUAUUGAUUAAAUAAAUAAGUACUAUAUUUCCAUCUGUUUUUACCUUUUAACUCUAUGGUUCUGAGCAUGGAAACUAUUCAAAAUAAACCUCUAAUCUGUGAUAUUUGUGCAACACUUAUGUGCACCUCGACGAGGCCCAUACCCAUGCACCCUGCUUCCACCACCAGUGCGUUCAUCAUCUUCAUACAGGCAAGCAAAAUCUCAAUUCACAGAUAUGUGCUACCUCUCCAGUCAUAUGCACACUAGAUGUUUGUGCGAAUGCUUCCGUGAGUAUUAUCAACUAAAGUUGGACAUGCUACCAUUUCAGCUCCUAGCAUCUCGACUUCAUUUCAUAUGUACGAUGUAGGAAUGUUCAACUUAAUGUUACCUAACUGAACAUUUCUACUCAAUUAUCUUUUAGUCAAUUUUCAGGAAAACCCCUGAUAUCAAACCUGAACAGGAGGCAGCGAAUUACCUAGGAACAAGCAUCAAGAACUGAUCCCAAAUAACUAAAGAGGCUCCGCUUGGACAUGGCGCAAGCGGAGACCGGGAUGGCAAGGCAAGAACUGUAGCAUCUCCAGGGACCAGAGCAGAGGAGGCGCUCCAUGGACGGCGGCUCCCCGCGGCCGCCCCGCAGUCCGGAGCGGGAGGGGAGCUACAACUACGACAUUGAGAGCAUGGACGGCUCCGUGGCCGGGGGCGGGCCACCGUGGCGGCCGCAGAACGGCUCCGCCGAGGCCCUGCUCCGCUACGACGAGGGGGGUGACGGCGACCGCGGGAGCGCGCGCGAGCCGCUGCUGCGGAAGCGCACCAUGAACACCACAUCCCAGAUCGCCAUCGUGGGCGCCAACGUCUGCCCUAUCGAGAGCUUGGAUUACGAAGUUGUGGAGAACGACCUCUUCAAGCAAGAUUGGCGAUCAAGAAAGAAGAAGCAGAUAUUUCAGUACAUUGUUCUCAAGUGGAGCUUGGUGCUUCUUAUUGGCUUGUUAACUGGACUUGUUGGCUUCUUCAACAACCUUGCGGUUGAAAACAUUGCUGGAUUCAAGUUGCUGCACACGAGUCGUCUGAUGCUCAAGGAGAGUGCAGAUAUUUCAAAGCAUUUUUGGUGUAUGGAGGUUGCAAUUUAGUCUUGGCGGCAUCUGCAGCAGCAAUCUGUGCUUAUGUUGCACCUGCUGCUGCUGGAUCCGGUAUUCCUGAAGUUAAAGCAUAUCUUAAUGGGGUUGAUGCUUAUUCUAUAUUGGCUCCUAGUACACUUUUUGUUAAGAUAUUUGGUUCAAUACUUGGAGUUUCAGCUGGAUUUGUACUAGGAAAAGAAGGCCCUAUGGUACACACAGGAGCAUGUAUUGCCAACUUGCUUGGUCAGGGAGGAUCACGCAAGUAUCAUCUUACAUGCAACUGGCUAAGAUACUUUAAGAAUGACAGGGAUAGGAGAGAUUUAAUUACAUGUGGAUCUGCAGCUGGAGUGGCAGCUGCCUUCCGUGCACCUGUUGGCGGUGUUCUGUUUGCUCUUGAAGAAGCAGCAUCAUGGUGGCGAAGUGCACUUCUGUGGAGAACAUUCUUUACAACUGCUGUUGUUGCUGUGGUAUUGAGGGGACUGAUUGAAUUCUGUCGCAGUGGAAAAUGUGGUCUAUUUGGGCAAGGUGGAUUGAUCAUGUUUGAUCUCAGUUCAACUAUUGCAACCUACAAUACUCCAGAUCUGAUUGCAAUCAUAGUCCUUGGUAUAAUUGGUGGCAUCUUUGGAGGCCUCUUCAACUUUCUCUUGGACAAGAUCCUGCGAGUUUAUAGUAUCAUCAAUGAGAGGGGUGCUCCAUUCAAGAUCCUUCUCACCAUAACAAUAUCAAUAAUCACAUCAAUGUGUUCCUAUGGUCUUCCUUGGCUUGCUGCAUGCACUCCAUGCCCAGUUGAUGCUGUGGAGCAGUGUCCAACUAUUGGCCGUUCUGCAAAUUACAAAAACUUCCAAUGCCCACAAGGAUAUUACAAUGAUCUUGCAUCACUCUUCUUCAACACCAAUGAUGAUGCCAUCCGCAACCUCUUCAGCAACGGCACCGCGAAUGAGUUCCGCAUGUCCAGUCUUUUCAUUUUCUUCACUGCUAUUUACUGCCUUGGACUUGUGACUUACGGGGUUGCUGUCCCCUCUGGCCUCUUCAUCCCUGUUAUUCUUGCUGGAGCCACUUAUGGGCGCAUUGUGGGAACACUUCUUGGAUCUAUAUCCGAUCUUGAUCCAGGCCUUUUUGCCCUUCUUGGUGCCGCAUCUUUUCUCGGUGGAACAAUGAGAAUGACUGUUUCCGUUUGUGUGAUCCUUCUAGAGCUCACCAAUGAUCUUCCCAUGCUCCCUUUGGUCAUGCUUGUACUUCUCAUAUCCAAGACCAUAGCAGAUAACUUCAACAAGGGGGUUUAUGAUCAGAUAGUGGUGAUGAAAGGUUUGCCAUACAUGGAGGCUCAUGCUGAACCAUACAUGAGACAUUUGGUUGCUGGUGAUGUGGUUUCUGGCCCACUAAUCACCUUUUCAGGUGUUGAGAAGGUGGGAAACAUUGUUCACGCGUUGAGGAUAACGGGCCACAAUGGGUUUCCUGUUGUUGAUGAGCCGCCUAUAACGGAAACCCCAGAGCUGGUUGGGCUUGUGACUAGGUCCCAUCUAUUGGUUUUACUGAACAGCAAGAAUUUCAUGAAGGGGCAGGUGAAAACUAGUGGUAGCUUUGUUCUGCGAAGAUUUGGUGCCUUUGACUUUGCAAAGCCAGGAUCAGGGAAAGGUUUGAAAAUUGAGGACCUGGAUUUCACUGAUGAGGAGAUGGACAUGUAUGUGGAUCUCCAUCCGAUUACAAACACCUCACCUUAUACGGUAGUUGAGACAAUGUCACUGGCGAAAGCCGCAAUCCUUUUCCGGGAACUAGGGUUGAGGCACCUCUUGGUUGUGCCCAAGACACCAGACAGGCCUCCCAUAGUUGGAAUUCUGACAAGGCAUGAUUUCAUGCCUGAACACAUUCACAGUCUGUUUCCAAAUCUCAACCCUCACAAGUACCAUUCAGCGUCUAUGGCAGGUUGAUCAUGAAGCUUUUUGCUACUUCUCACCUGUGUAAAUUAUUUGGGUGCUGGUUGUAUGUAAAUUACAAAGGUGUAUCUGGUAUUGAAUUGGAGAGAGCUCAUCUUCUUUACAUGGUAUGAUUUGAGUGAAUUUUGUAGCCUAUACUCUUCUGCAAUAAAAAUGUGGCAGUUAUUUGGUUGGAGACUGCCCGCUGUAAGAAAAGCUCUGCAAAUUCUAGAGUGAACGUUCCAAAUUCCAGAAUAUGGAGCAAAAGUAUGAAGUGUAAGGCGAAGCAUGUUUGAGAAUUGAGACUCUUUAAGGUUUAUUUUAGUGAACUUGGGCCUAAACACUAUGCCACUGGCACUUGUAAUGCAGAUUUAUUCUUUCUAAUUGUAAGAUCUACUUGGCUUUUGAUUCUAGACAU